rnacentral:rRNA from 1 species
AGUCGAACGAAGCGCCUUUUGAGAUUCUUCGGAUGAUCGAUUGGUGACUGAGUGGCGGACGGGUGAGUAACGCGUGGGUAACCUGCCCUGUACAGGGGGAUAACAGCUGGAAACGGCUGCUAAUACCGCAUAAGCGCACGAGGAGACAUCUCCUUGUGUGAAAAACUCCGGUGGUACAGGAUGGGCCCGCGUCUGAUUAGCUGGUUGGCAGGGUAACGGCCUACCAAGGCAACGAUCAGUAGCCGGUCUGAGAGGAUGAACGGCCACAUUGGAACUGAGACACGGUCCAAACUCCUACGGGAGGCAGCAGUGGGGAAUAUUGCACAAUGGGGGAAACCCUGAUGCAGCAACGCCGCGUGAGUGAAGAAGUAUUUCGGUAUGUAAAGCUCUAUCAGCAGGGAAGAUAAUGACGGUACCUGACUAAGAAGCUCCGGCUAAAUACGUGCCAGCAGCCGCGGUAAUACGUAUGGAGCAAGCGUUAUCCGGAUUUACUGGGUGUAAAGGGUGCGUAGGUGGCAGUGCAAGUCAGAUGUGAAAGGCCGGGGCUCAACCCCGGAGCUGCAUUUGAAACUGCUCGGCUAGAGUACAGGAGAGGCAGGCGGAAUUCCUAGUGUAGCGGUGAAAUGCGUAGAUAUUAGGAGGAACACCAGUGGCGAAGGCGG